GACGAACGCUGGCGGCGUGCUUAACACAUGCAAGUCGAACGGUAACGGGUUAAGCCGACGAGUGGCGAACGGGUGAGUAAUAUAUCGGAACGUGCCCAGUCGUGGGGGAUAACGUAGAGAAAUUUACGCUAAUACCGCAUACGAUCCAAGGAUGAAAGCGGGGGACCUUCGGGCCUCGUGCGACUGGAGCGGCUGAUAUCAGAUUAGGUUGUUGGUGAGGUAAAAGCUCACCAAGCCGACGAUCUGUAGCUGGUUUGAGAGAACGACCAGCCACACUGGGACUGAGACACGGCCCAGACUCCUACGGGAGGCAGCAGUGGGGAAUUUUGGACAAUGGGCGAAAGCCUGAUCCAGCAAUGCCGCGUGCAGGAAGAAGGCCUUCGGGUUGUAAACUGCUUUUGUACGGAACGAAAAGGUCUGCCCUAAUACGGCGGGCUCAUGACGGUACCGUAAGAAUAAGCACCGGCUAACUACGUG
rnacentral:rRNA from 1 species